UUUAUACAUGUGUGUUCAUGUGCAUGUGUGCACAUGUAUGUGCAUUCACACACACACACACACACACACACACAACCACAACUA
rnacentral:miRNA from 1 species